rnacentral:lncRNA from 1 species
CUCCUCUCUAAAAUUUCUACAUCCUCAGAGCAUACUUCGUGUCCAGUUCGUUCUGCAUGUUCCUUUAUAGCCGACUCUGCAAUCUGCGGUCUUGUUCCCCACGGUUUAUGUUCAGCCCAACGGGUUUCCAUCAUCGUUUACUUUCUCCAAUGUAAAGGAAAUUACAUGUUUUACACUUGAAUUUGUAAACGAUGCCUUUGACUUGAGUUUCUGAUGGUCUAGCUGUCUUUCGGUUUUUUGAAUAUUCCGCCCAAUGUUAAUUGUUAGUGGCUUAUACGCUGUUCUGAUACUGGCACCAGUCAAGAUUCGGUUGACUCUCUCCGAAAUGCCUUUGACAUAUGGGAUACAUGCAUAACCUUUGGGCUCAGCAACAGAACUGAGUUGGUUCGUUCAAUCUUUCGGGUUUGCUUGCAACACUG